rnacentral:rRNA from 2 species
CGGAUGUUAGCGGCGGACGGGUGAGUAACACGUGGGUAACCUGCCUGUAAGACUGGGAUAACUCCGGGAAACCGGAGCUAAUACCGGAUAGUUCCUUGAACCGCAUGGUUCAAGGAUGAAAGACGGUUUCGGCUGUCACUUACAGAUGGACCCGCGGCGCUUUAGCUAGUUGGUGAGGUAACGGCUCACCAAGGCGACGAUGCGUAGCCGACCUGAGAGGGUGAUCGGCCACACUGGGACUGAGACACGGCCCAGACUCCUACGGGAGGCAGCAGUAGGGAAUCUUCCGCAAUGGACGAAAGUCUGACGGAGCAACGCCGCGUGAGUGAUGAAGGUUUUCGGAUCGUAAAGCUCUGUUGUUAGGGAAGAACAAGUGCAAGAGUAACUGCUUGCACCUUGACGGUACCUAACCAGAAAGCCACGGCUAACUACGUGCCAGCAGCCGCGGUAAUACGUAGGUGGCAAGCGUUGUCCGGAAUUAUUGGGCGUAAAGGGCUCGCAGGCGGUUUCUUAAGUCUGAUGUGAAAGCCCCCGGCUCAACCGGGGAGGGUCAUUGGAAACUGGGAAACUUGAGUGCAGAAGAGGAGAGUGGAAUUCCACGUGUAGCGGUGAAAUGCGUAGAGAUGUGGAGGAACACCAGUGGCGAAGGCGACUCUCUGGUCUGUAACUGACGCUGAGGAGCGAAAGCGUGGGGAGCGAACAGGAUUAGAUACCCUGGUAGUCCACGCCGUAAACGAUGAGUGCUAAGUGUUAGGGGGUUUCCGCCCCUUAGUGCUGCAGCUAACGCAUUAAGCACUCCGCCUGGGGAGUACGGUCGCAAGACUGAAACUCAAAGGAAUUGACGGGGGCCCGCACAAGCGGUGGAGCAUGUGGUUUAAUUCGAAGCAACGCGAAGAACCUUACCAGGUCUUGACAUCCUCUGACAACCCUAGAGAUAGGGCUUUCCCUUCGGGGACAGAGUGACAGGUGGUGCAUGGUUGUCGUCAGCUCGUGUCGUGAGAUGUUGGGUUAAGUCCCGCAACGAGCGCAACCCUUGAUCUUAGUUGCCAGCAUUCAGUUGGGCACUCUAAGGUGACUGCCGGUGACAAACCGGAGGAAGGUGGGGAUGACGUCUAAUACAUCAUGCC